rnacentral:lncRNA from 1 species
AUGGUUAUGAUCUUGCCAAGUGUCGUAUUACUCACCAUUGGAUUGCAAGACUUCUAGGGCCUUCUACUUAACCCUCAUUAGGGUUCCUAGAUGGUGCUAGAAUCUGGAUUUUUCACUCUCUCUCUCUUAUUUCGCCGCUUCAUCUCUCUCAAGAGAUGAUUCUUCUUCUUUCGAUCUAAAGAAUCUGUCCAAAAAAGCUUCCUUCGAUAUUAGCCCCAAAAUUGUAUAAUCUUGAGUGAUUUG